UGUGCAUUUAAUGCUGGUGUGCUUGCUCCAUCUUUCUACUGCUUGCAUCCUUCAUUAAAAAUACCAUUUAUUGAAAAAUCCACUUUUAUAGUACCAUUUGCAGCUAACAGUGCUUUUAGUGUUAGGAUCUGCUCCUGCCGCUGCUGCUGAAAAAAACAAGAGAAUAUGAUACAGAGAUCCAAUACAGAGCAAGAUGUCUUGCUGUAGUCUCUGAAAUGAUUGCUUUUUGUUUUUGUUUUUGAAUGGGUACAGUUGCUGGAGAACUCUGAUUUGUGUAUGUGUCUGAGUAUCACAAUGGGCUGUUUUUCUGCACUGCUCUCAGUACUAUAGCCUGAGAUACUGCAGCUGUUUUUAAGGUCAUUUCCUUUUAUUUUAAAUAAUUGUUCAUUUAACAUAUGUUGUUAAACUCAUUCUUGCGUCAAAAGGAGGCGAUUAUACUUCCUGACCCUGAAAGCAAGUGUCUUGGAUUUUCUUCUGAAAUCCCACAAAAUGACUGAUGAAGCAAAUAUGGAGUCCCAUCAUCACAGACAGAAAGGAAAUGGAGGGUAAGCAAUUCAGUGACAGUUCAACCUAUGUGAUCCCCAGGUGAUGUUGGAAAUGGGUGAACAGGACUUUGAAAUGCCAUGACUGGAAAAGGGAUGGCUUCAGUGGAAUAACUCAAGACUGAAGCAUGACCCUGGAACCUUCAGACGACCCCAUGCUCACCUAGGAUGAAUACCAACCGAGUAAAAGGCCUCUUAUCACCACUUCCAGUGUCACAGCAAUGCUGUGGAAACAGAACAGAAGCCCAUGUUUCAGCCAGGACUGCAAUGGCCUCCUCCCAUGGGAAUAACAGCUGCAUAAAUAGGAGAGAGACCCUCCGUGGAAUUGCGUCCAACACCUUUCUAAUGGAAAUAAUGAUUUGCAAAGCCCAGUUUAUACCUUUGCCACAUAAUUAGUAGCCAGAAGAGCCUGAAGAUAAAAAACAUUGUUCCAACUCCCAGCAUCCUUGAAAUUUGGCAAGACCUUAAAUAUUCCACUCUGUGUUCCAAAAAGGUAGCUUAUAUGUGAUCAUUGUAAGGAGAGUCUUAGGCAGUUGAGCCAAGCCCUUGAAUCAAUCAACACUUAUUAUAUGGAAAUUAACCAGUUUGAUGUCAAUUAGUGGAAAUUUGUUAGCAGACAUACCCUGUGGGACAUUUUAUUUUGAAUUCCUAACACUCCUUAUAGAAGCUAGCUAAGAAAGGGUCAGGGACUGCAAAUCAAUUUUCUCAAAAAGUCAGAGUAGGAUUAGUUAAAAAAACAGUUUAGAAACUAAGAAAGGAAAAGCUACACUAAAACACUCUGACACAUAAA